ACUUAAUUUUUAGAUGUAAAAGCUCAUUAUCUUAGCCUAAUAGCAAAUACAACAAUUAUAGUCACCUCUCUGUCUCUCCCUCGCUCCUUCUUCGUCUUCUUCUUCAAUCGAGCAUAAUAAUCAAUCAAUCAAUCAUCCUCCUCUCUUUGUUGCUUUCGUUACCUCGUGUGCUCUAUGUUUGAAGAGGCAAAAUCAUCAUCUUCAUCCAUUCUAGAAACAAUAUUUGGCAACAUUGAUGUUUUAUCUGAGGAGGAGGAAGCUCUUGGUGAUCACCAAUUGCAUGAUCUGUUGGAACCUGCUGGUAUGGUUUUAGUCCAAUCCUUGCAUGGAAUCAGCAGGUAUAGUUCCUGACUGUAGUUUCAGAUUAUCUAGUUUGGGUAAGCUUCUUCAUCCAAUGGAUGCAACUGAUCUUUGGGGAGAAAUUGAAACUUCUAAGAGGUACUUCUGAUCAUUUCCACUCAAUUUCUCAAUUUUUGUUGUUUGCUAUUUUGUGAGAAUUUUGGUUUCCGUACUUUUCAGAAAGAUCGAUCCAUGUCAUUCUUGAUGAGAAGCAAGUUAAAAUGAAGAUGCUUAUGAUGAUUUGCUCAGUACUAAUUUCGAUUGCUCUUUGUUUGAUGGGUGUAUAGUUAACUCGUGUACUCUAUGUAUGAAGAGGCAAAGUCAUCAUCUUCAUCCAUACUGAAAACAAUAUUUGGCAACAUGAGACACAUUGAUGUUUUAUUUGAGGAGGAAGCUCUUCGUGAUCACCAAUUGCAUGAUCUGUUGGAAUCUGCUGGUAUGGUUUUAGUCCAAUCCUUACAUGGAAUCGGAAGGUAUGUUUCCUGAAUCUAUUCAGAUUAUCUAAUUUGAGACAAGUUCCUCUUGAUUCUGUUUUGAAUUGGAUGCUUUAAGAGGCUUUAUAGUUUCCAACAUAUCCCUUUUUUCAUGCAGGACAGUUGAGAUUUUUUUAACUAGUUAAUUUAAUAACGGGAACAAGUGGUAGUGUGGAUCAUAUUUGUUUGGGUGGUGGGCUUGCUUUACUUAAUUGAUAGAAAAUCCCAAUAGCAAUUACCAUAAUUAUAUCAUCUCUCUCUCUCGCUCAUUCUUCUUCGUCUUCUUCAUUUGGGCUCAUCAUAAUCAAAUCCUCUUCCUCGCUUUGUUGCUUUUGGGUAAGCUUCUUCCAACAAUGGAUGCAACUGAUCUUUGCGGAGAAAUUGAAACUUCUGGGAGUGAGCAUCUUUAUGUAUAUCCUAAAUGAUGCUGGAGUAAGUGCAAAAGGGCUCCAUGGGAAAACAUCUUUGGAUAUUGAUGAGUAAUUAGAAGUUGUAGAGCUGUAUAUCUUUGGAGUUCUUGCAAAAGUUUCUGAUGACGUGGGCCUAGCCAUUUCAUGGGUUGAGAAAGCUGCAUUGCCUGAGAAAAGACGACAGAUUACAUUCUUUACUGUCUCCCAAAACAACAAACGUUCCAUAUUCUAGUUCUUUAGAGGAAGAUUCCAAGGAUUCUUCUUCUUAUGCCGUAGUGAAUAAGCCCAAGAAUUCCAAGAAUUAUGAUAUUUAUUAUGGCCUGAAUCUCUCUGAACAACAUGAACCUUCGCCACUUUGGUCAUCCCAUCCUCUAAGCCUCAAGCUUGGUAAUACCCAAUUUAGCAUGUCCAAGGGAAAGGUUACCAUAAGCCUUGUUGGAUUAAUCAUAUGUUAUGAUUUGAAGAGAAAACGAGCUGCUUUAAUACGAUAAGAAUUCUUCUAAGCAUGUUUCUGAACAUCGGUAUGUGAAUGAAAAAAUACAUUGUGAACCACAAAAUAAGCUGUGUGUGCUUGUUUACUUG